rnacentral:rRNA from 1 species
UACGUAGGGUGCAAGCGUUAAUCGGAAUUACUGGGCGUAAAGUGUGCGCAGGCGGCCGCGCAAGUCGAGUGUGAAAGCCCCGGGCUUAACUUGGGAAUUGCGCUCGAAACUACGUGGCUGGAGUGUGGCAGAGGAAGGUGGAAUUCCAGGUGUAGCGGUGAAAUGCGUAGAUAUCAGGAGGAACACCGAUGGCGAAGGCAGGUCUCUGGGCUGACACUGACGCUCAUGCACGAAAGCGUGGGGAGCAAACAGG